CCGAGUGGAACGCUUCCGUCUCUCAGUCUCGUCUCCUAUGUGAUAAACUCAAGCGAUUCAACAAACGUUGGGAAGCUUGAGCACCACACACAUAAUGCUGGAGGAGCUCAGUCAGGCAGUAUCUAUAAAGGAGAAUAAACAGUCGACGUUUCGGGCCGAGACUCUUCAUCAAAACUGGAAAGGAAGGGGACAGGACAGGAGCCAGAAUCAUAAGGUGGGAUUUGGAGAAGGAGUACGAGUUGGCAGAUGAAUCUCUUGUGCAUAUGAUAUGCAGCAUUCACUCUUCUUACUGCAUUCUGACAGCAGUACCAGUGUUAUAAGGAAGGUGAACCCUUGCAAGGCAGCAGGCCCCGAUGGAGAACCUGGUAAGGCUCUGAAAACAUGUACCAACCAACUGGUGGAAGAGUCCGAGGACAUUUUCAACCUCUCAUUGCUAUGGUCGGAAGGUCCCACCUGCUUCAAAAAGGCAACAAUUGUACCAGUGCCCAAGAGGAGUAGUGUGAGCUGCCUUGAUGACUAUCGCCCAGAAGAACUCACAUCCUGAGAGAUUGGUCGUGGCUACAAUGAGCUCCUGCCUCAUCAAGGACCUGGGCCCACUACAAUUUGCCUAUCUCCACAAUAGGUCUACAGCAGACAUAUUGCCCUUUAGAUCACCUGGACAAUACAAAUACCUAUGUCAGGAUGCUGUUCAUUGACUAUAGCUCAGCAUAUAACAUCAACAUUCCCACAGUCCUGACUGAUAAGUUACAGAACCUGGGCCUCCGUACUUCCCUCUGUAACAAAACCCUCAACUUCCGAACUGGAAGACCACAAUCUGUGUGGGUUGGUGGUAAUAUCUCCUCCUCACUGAUGAUCAGCACUGGCGCACCUCAGGGAUGUGUGCUUAGCCCACUGCUAUUCUCUGUCUAUACCCGUGACUGUGUGGCUAGGCAUAUCUCAAAUACCAUCUAUAAAUUUGAUGAUGAUAUAACCAUUGUUGGUAGAAUCUCAGAUGGAGACGAGAGGGCAUACAGGAGCAAGAUAUGCCAACCAGUUGAGUGGUGUUGCAGGAACAACCAAUGUUAGUAAGACAAAUGAGCUGAUUGUGGACUUCAGGAAGGGUAAGACGAAGGAACAUGAACCAAUCCUCCUAGAGGGAUCAGAAGUGGAGGGAGUGAGCAAUUUCAAGUUCCUGGGUGUCAAGAUCUCGGAAGAUUUAACCUGAGAUCCCAACAUAUUAAUGCAGCUAUAAAGAAGGCAUGAACACUACUUCACUUUUUAAAAAUAUAUAUUAUUUCUGUUUUUGCACUAUUUUUAAUCUAUUCAAUACACAUAUAUAUACUUACAGUAAUUGAUUGACUUCUAUAUUAUCUUGUAUUGCAUUGAACUGCUGCUGCUAAGUUAACAAAUUUCAUGACACAUA